GUUUUUAACACUUUCAAAGAAAUUCAUUUCCAUUAUCAAGCCAAGGAAGUCAUGCACACCACCUGUUUGAUGAAAGUUCCAGUCGUAGCUCUUCGAGAUAUUUACAAGACCCUGAACCAACUGCCACAAUUGAGGCACUGGAGCAUAAUUGUCGUCUCUUCUGCUGUUUUGAAAUCAUGAAUGAUGAAUUUGAUUUACAGAGCAUGAAAAUGUUGAAAGUAAGAGCUGCCCUCGAGGAAAAAUUGAAGCAGAAGGGUAUUUUCAAUUCCAUCACUCCAAGAACUGAUAGACCCCAGAAACAUCUGAAACCAUUAAAUGGGAAGCUGAAUCGUAUGAUGAUUUUGAUGAUGACCCUGUAAAUGCUGAAGGCGCUAACCAGGCUCAUGCAAGUUCAUUGAGUGCAAGCAAAGUUUCCCAAUUUGUUGCUGCUAAUCGACAUAAGUCAAAGGUA